rnacentral:rRNA from 1 species
ACGCUCGACACCUACGGGAGACAGCAGUGGGGGAUAUUGCACAAUGGGCGAAAGCCUGAUGCAGCGACGCCGCGUGAGGGAAGACGGUCUUCGGAUUGUAAACCUCUGUCUUCAGGGACGAAAGGAAUGACGGUACCUGAGGAGGAAGCCACGGCUAACUACGUGCCAGCAGCCGCGGUAAUCUGAGCGGGCUGGCAAGGC